AUUAAAUGGCCGCAGUAUAUUAACUGUGCAAAGGUAGCAUAAUCAUUAGUCUUUUAAUUGAAGGCUGGAAUGAAUGGUUGGACGAGAUAUUAACUGUUUCAUGAAGAUUUAUAUUAGAAUUUUAUUUUUUAGUUAAAAAGCUAAAAUAUAAUUAAAAGACGAGAAGACCCUAUAAAUCUUUAUAUUUAUAUUAUUAUUAUUUUGUGGAUUUUUUUUAUUAUAAUAAUUAAUAAUAUUUUAUUGGGGUGAUAUUAAAAUUUAAUAAACUUUUAAUUAUUUUUAUCAUUAAUUAAUGAUUAAUUGAUCCGUUAUUAACGAUUAUAAAUUUAAGUUACUUUAGGGAUAACAGCGUAAUUUUUUUGGAGAGUUCUUAUCGAUAAAAAAGAUUGCGACCUCGAUGUUGGAUUAAGAGAUAUAUUUUGGUGUAGCUGC
rnacentral:rRNA from 1 species